GUCUAUGGCCAUACCACCCUGAACGAGCCUGAUCUCAUCUGAUCUCGGAAGCUAAGCAGGGUCGGACCUGGUUAGUAUGUGGAUGGGAAAAUGGCACGGCUACAUGUGUGACAGUGUGCCAAGAGUU
rfam:Ovis aries breed Texel chromosome 4, whole genome shotgun sequence.